AGUAUCGGGCAUCUAUCGGGGUGUUUCGCGUGCAACUUUCAAUGUAUAUCGAAAUGCAAAUUUGUGUCUCUACGAAGGUGUGGAACAUCUUCCAUUUGAACAAAUUACUAGUUGGGUGGUUAGUUCAAUAAGUUGAGGUCGGGUGUUGUGUAGUUGUUGGAGACUUUCGAAGUACAUACAGCACAGAGUUACUGAUGUUGAGGUGAAAACAAAAGAAAUUAGAAAAUGGCGGAUUCACGGAAACCUCAAGGACCUGUAGUGAAAUUUAUCAAAAGUUUAUAUUAUAAUCCAUUUAGAUGGUCACUAAUCAAGACUGUAGCCAUGUUUGCACUCGGUGUUCGGAUAGCACGGGAAUGUAAAGGCCUGGAACUGAUGCCAUCGUAGUUGUACCAGAUUAUUUAAUAAACGAAAAUUUGUUAAUGUUA
rnacentral:lncRNA from 1 species